GCUCAGUAACGGCGAGUGAAGCGGCAACAGCUCAAAUUUGAAAUCUGGCUCCUUCGGGGCCCGAGUUGUAAUUUGCAGAGGAUGCGUCGGGUGCGGGUUCCUUCCGAGUUCCCUGGAACGGGACGCCAUAGAGGGUGAGAGCCCCGUCUGGUAGGACACCCAGCCCGUGUGACGCUCCCUCGACGAGUCGAGUAGUUUGGGAAUGCUGCUCUAACGGGAGGUAUACUCCUUCCAAGGCUAAAUACCGGCUGGAGACCGAUAGCGCACAAGUAGAGUGAUCGAAAGAUGAAAAGCACUUUGAAAAGAGAGUCAAACAGCACGUGAAAUUGUUAAAAGGGAAGCGCUCGCUACCAGACUUGGGUUCGGCGGUUCAACCGGGGCCAUGCCCCGGGGCACUCCGUCGGCCCAGGCCAGCAUCAGCUUUCCGUCGGGGGCAAAGGCGUCGGGAAUGUGGCUCCCCCUCGGGGGAGUGUUAUAGCCCGGCGCGUCAUACCCUUCGGGGGGCUGAGGUACGCGCUUCUGCAAGGAU
rnacentral:rRNA from 2 species